AGAGUUUGAUCCUGGCUCAGGACGAACGCUGGCGGCGUGCUUAAUACAUGCAAGUCGAGCGGACCUUUGCCGUUUGUUGCCGGUUUCCGGCGACAAAUGGCAACGGUUAGCGGCGAGCGGGUGAGUAACGCGUGGGUAAUCUGCCCCCAAGACCGGGAUAACAGGGCGAAAGCGCUGCUAAUACCGGAUGACCUCUCUUUAUCGCAUGGUGAAGGGAGCAAAGCUACGGCGCUUGGGGAUGAGCCCGCGUUCCAUUAGCUAGUUGGUGAGGUAACAGCUCACCAAGGCGACGAUGGAUAGCCGGCCUGAGAGGGUGACCGGCCACACUGGGACUGAGACACGGCCAGACUCCUACGGGAGGCAGCAGUAGGGAAUUUUCGGCAAUGGGGGAAACCCUGACCGAGCAACGCCGCGUGAGGGAUGAAGGCCUUCGGGUCGUAAACCUCUGUCUUUGGGGACGAUAAUGACGGUACCCGAGGAGGAAGCCCCGGCUAACUACGUGCCAGCAGCCGCGGUAAUACGUAGGGGGCGAGCGUUGUCCGGAAUUACUGGGCGUAAAGGGCGUGUAGGCGGCCUGUUAAGUCAGGCGUGAAAACCCCGGGCUUAACCUGGGGACUGCGUUUGAAACUGGCGGGCUUGAGGGCAGGAGAGGAAAGUGGAAUUCCCGGUGUAGCGGUGAUAUGCGUAGAUACCGGGAGGAACACCAGUGGCGAAGGCGGCUUUCUGGACUGCACCUGACGCUGAGGCGCGAAAGCCAGGGGAGCGAACGGGAUUAGAUACCCCGGUAGUCCUGGCCGUAAACGAUGGGUACUAGGUGUGGGAGGUAUCGACUCCUUCCGUGCCGGAGUUAACACAAUAAGUACCCCGCCUGGGGAGUACGGCCGCAAGGCUGAAACUCAAAGGAAUUGACGG
rnacentral:rRNA from 1 species